rnacentral:rRNA from 1 species
CCUACGGGAGGCAGCAGUGGGGGAUAUUGCACAAUGGGGGGAACCCUGAUGCAGCGACGCCGCGUGAGCGAAGAAGUACCUCGGUAUGUAAAGCUCUAUCAGCAGGGAAGAAAAUGACGGUACCUGACUCAGAAGCCCCGGCUAAAUACGUGCCAGCAGCCGCGGUAAUACGUAUGGGGCAAGCGGUAUCCGGAUUUACUGGGUGUAAAGGGAGCGCAGGCGGCCUGCCAAGUCUGGUGUGAAACCCCGGGGCCCAACCCCGGGCCUGCAUUGGAAACUGGCGGGCUGGAGUGGCGGAGGGGCAGGCGGAAUUCCUAGUGUAGCGGUGAAAUGCGUAGAUAUUAGGAGGAACACCGGUGGCGAAGGCGGCCUGCUGGACGAUGACUGACGCUGAGGCUCGAAAGCGUGGGGAGCAAACAGGAUUAGAUACCCCUGUAGUC